rnacentral:rRNA from 1 species
CCCCAGUAACGGCGAGUGAAGCGGCAACAGCUCAAAUUUGAAAUCUGGCCCUCCCCGGGGGGCCCGAGUUGUAAUUUGCAGAGGAUGCUUUGGGCGAGGCGCCUUCCGAGUUCCCUGGAACGGGACGCCACAGAGGGUGAGAGCCCCGUCUGGUCGGACGCCGAGCCUCUGUAAAGCUCCUUCGACGAGUCGAGUAGUUUGGGAAUGCUGCUCAAAAUGGGAGGUAUAUGUCUUCUAAAGCUAAAUACCGGCCAGAGACCGAUAGCGCACAAGUAGAGUGAUCGAAAGAUGAAAAGCACCUUGAAAAGGGGGUUAAACAGUACGUGAAAUUGUUGAAAGGGAAGCGCUCGUGACCAGACUUGGGGCGGGCGGAUCAGCCGGCGUUCUCGCCGGCGCACUCCGCCCGUCCCAGGCCAGCAUCAGUUCGCGCCGGGGGACAAAGGCGGCGGGAAUGUGGCUCCCCAGGGAGUGUUAUAGCCCGCCGCGCCAUGCCCCGGGGGCGGACUGAGGGCCGCGCAUCACUGCAAGGAUGCUGGCGUAAUGGUCACCAGCGACCCGUCUUGAAACACGGGCCAAGGAGUCGUCCUCGUAUGCGAGUGUUCGGGUGUCAAACCCCUACGCGGAAUGAAAGUGAACGUGGGUGAGAGCUUCGGCGCAUCAUCGACCGAUCCUGAUGUUCUCGGAUGGAUUUGAGUAGGAGCAUACGGGGCCGGACCCGAAAGAAGGUGAACUAUGCCUGUGUAGGGUGAAGCCAGAGGAAACUCUGGUGGAGGCUCGCAGCGGUUCUGACGUGCAAAUCGAUCGUCAAACAUGGGCAUGGGGGCGAAAGACU